rnacentral:lncRNA from 1 species
UUUUUUAUACCUAAAUCGAGUCCUAAAUCCCCAUCUCCAUGAAAUCUUCCCGAGACCCCAUAACAGUUGCUCAUAAAAUGGGAAUACAACCAAAAAGAAAUUUAGAGUCCUAGAACCCCUCCCACCGUCCACUCUUAUCUUUCGACCAACACACAUAAAAAACAAACAACAGAAGGCAAUCCUCAUUUCCAUUGAAAAAGGAACCAAAUUCCUAAUACCUGGAGAAAAACCAGCGAAAUCUUCCCAAAAAAAUCGUCCCAAAAACAGCCAUAAACAUCCCAUUAUAGCUCAAACUUUAACCCAGAAAUUCACCUUCAAUCAGUCCAUAAAUUAUUACCUUUAGCUAUCAAAAUUCGGCCUCAAAAUAAAGCUGAAAACUGCUUCAAACUAGCUAAAAAAAUGCAGCAGAACAGUACCAUAACAACAACGAUUUUGUUCGAGGUCAUUGAGUCGAGGUUUCCACGUCGAGGGGUCUGCCGGAAGUUGUCCGAUCAUGGAAUCUGCUAUAAUGUAAAGUUCAAAAUCAGCUAUAUGCCAAGGUUCCUUUUUCUUUCUAUUCUGUUUCUCUAUUAAUAAUUGGGACCAUUUCAUAUUGUUUUAAUUUCAAGUUUAACAUGAAUGAGUGUUGUUUCUGAGUAUCUUAUGUUCGGACCAUUAUUUUACUCGGUGUUUGUUGGAAAUUUGAAUGAAUAUUUAGUGUUUGCUUGAAUUGUUGAAUUUUGAAAAUAAAGAGGAUAUAUGACUAUGUGAAAUCAUAAAAUAUGAUGGCCUUAUGGGUGUGAGUUUGCCAUCAAUUUUCAUAUUGUUCUUGAGCUUGGAAUACAAGGCAUAUUAAUACUGUGCAUCUGCUUGUGGGAAUUGUGCUACUCGUAUCUGGUAUGUCCGUGAACCAGGUGUGCCCUCUCAAAAAAAAUAAAUUCCUUGAUCGAUAUUUUGGUUCAUACAGUUUUUUAGGAUGUACUUGGUUGACUUUUUCUUUGAAUGAGCACUUGAAAAAGAAACUGUUAUUUUGAGCUGAUUUGAUUUGGUUGAUAAUUCAAAUGAUUGAUUUGUUAUUUGUUUAAAGGCGUAUAAACUAGGCACCAUAUAUGUUGUUGGUUUGAUUUUCAACCAUAGCUGCAAAUGGAAUUAAAGGGUCUAAGUAUUGAAAUGUUUAGGAUGCGGACGAGUUGAAGCAAGUUUACGGCUUAUUUUUAUUUGCUGUAGAUGCAUAGUUAAUGGGACUAAGCAUUUUAAUCAUUCAAGAAAAAGUCAGUCAGAGAUGAUUGCUAGUUUCAGAGGAGGGUUGAGAUUUUUUUAAUGAAUUUUAUCUCAAUUAGUUGAAAAGUUCUCUAAUCUUAAUUGAAUAUUAUGUACCCAAUAAGUCAACAAAUCACUUUCUUGGAAAUCUUUUUUUUCCUUAAAAAUAGAAUAAUUUUGAGGCGUGUUAUGCCAAAUAAAAUCUCAAAACCUAUGGACCUCACUUAAUUAAUUUUAAUCCUUUAGAAAUCGAGGUGUGCCAUUUAGUUGAAUUUUCUAUGGCCCUCGCAAAGUUGUAAAUGCGUAGUUGCAUUAGGCGCUUUAUUUUAUUAAUUUACCUUUCUUAACCCGGGUGCACAUUAUGAGAUCCAAAUCUAAAUCUCAACAACAUUAAUGUGUUGCGGACCGCAGGUGCAUUUAUGUGACGUGGAUCAAGACAUAUUUUAAAUGACGUUAGAAAUCUUUCUUCAUAAAUAAUUAAAAGUGGUUAAGGUUAAAAACACACAUAGGUUUAAAAAUUGUAAUAAAAUUAGAUAAUAGGCCAAUAAUAACAGUUGAGCGAUAGUGCUAGAACCACAGAACUCGGGAAUGCCUAACAACUUCUCCCGAGUUAACAAAAUUCCUUACCCAGUUUUUUGAUUCGCGGACUGUAAUACAGAGUCAACCUUUUCCUUGAUUCGGGAUUUGAACCGGUAACUUGGGACACCAUAAAUUAUCCUAAGUGGCGACUCUGAAUUUUAAAUAGACAAAUAAUCCCGUUUCGAUUGUCACUUUAAUUUGAAAAAAACUACCUUGAUACGCCUUUCCGGAGGUGUAGUAAAAAAGGAGGUAUGACAACACAAGAAAUUUAGAACGACACAGGAAGCUUGCUGGGUAGGAAUGAACACGAUGAUGUUGCCAUGGUUAUUUCAGAGUCAUGACAUGGACCAAAAGGUCCGCCUCACCAACAUACCCAACCUCAACUUCAACCCCAAACUUAGCCCCGAGCUUCACAUAAUCCACCUCAGUAUUAUCCUCGAACCAUGUCCAUUCAUUUGUCCAACCACCAGGUUACUCCCUAUGGCGAGCACCAGCACCGCAUACUGCAUUCUUGCCUUCACAACAUUUUCGAGUGCCCAACAACCCUAGAUAACAGGGGCAGGGAAGAGAACAAAGGCAGAUAAAUAGUUUCACGCCAAUUGGGAGUCCUACACCAGCUUGUUUGAAUAGUUAAAGCAUUCUAGCAUAAUUGAGCAGCUUCUCGGCUAUACUCCAGGCCCAUAUGCAAAAGGCUUUGAUCCUACUGUCUGAUGCAUGUACCACUUUAAUGUCCAAGGGCAUAGCAUUGAAGAUUCGUUCUUUGAAAAGGGAAAUAGAAAGAAUGAUCCAAGAAGGGUAAUUGUGAUCGAUGACGGUGACAUGGAGCAUGCAAAUCCUCUUGGGAACUUGUUGACUUAAGUUGAUGAUAUUGAAAUUGGUAAUGGUCUUGGCAAUAUUGAUGCCGAACUCAGUGGCUAAGGUGCCGUGCUUGGUAAAUGGAAAGACACUCCAUUUCUUGGUCAGCCGGAGAGGAGUUUUAGUGGUUUAUUUUUUUGUCAUUUAUGUUGUCCAGGUUAUUUUCAAGGUUGUAAUUCGGAUAUUGUCUUGUGACUCAAACCCUUCUAUCUUUUAUUUUGCCUAGUUUAUUUAGUCAUAGUAGCUCGUUUAGUAUUGUCUAGGUUUGUUCUAGGUUUGUAACCCCAGUUUCGAAUUGUACUCCCUUUUUCUUAAGGUGCGUGCCUGAUUACCAUACUUGAAUUAUAUUUCCUCGUUCUCCAGGUAGGUGCCUGAUUGCCAAUACUUGAACUGUCUUCAUUCGAAACUUGGACGGCCUUCCUUGAAAUCUGUGCUAUCUUCCUUUGAAACUUGAAUUAUUUUUCUUUAUUUUCUAAGUGGGUGCCUGCUUGCUGGACUUGAGUCGUCUUCCUUUGAACAUUGCUGCCUUCCCUUUGUUCUCCACGUGGGCGUCUAAUUACCAACAUUUGAAUUGUAUUCCUUUCCUCUGAAACUUAAAUUGGUUUCCCUUGAAACUUGAACUAUUUUCCUUUGAAACUUGAACUGCUCUCCUUAUUCUCCAUGCGGGCGCCUGAUUUCCAAAACUUUAAUUGUAUUCCCUUGCUUUCCAGGUGGGCGCCUGAUUGCCAAAACUUGAAAUGUAUUCCCUUGCUCUCCAGGCCCCUUGCUUUCCAGGUGAGCGCCUG